rnacentral:pre_miRNA from 1 species
AAUAGAUGACGCCGUUGACUUUUUCUCACAUGUUUGAUCAUUCGUCUUAUUCAAAAAAUUUACGUAAUUAUAAUUUAUUUUAUUAUGAGUUGUUUUAUCACUCAUAGUACUUUAAGUAUGAUUUAUAUCUUAUAUAUUUAUAUAAAAUUUUUGAAUAAGACGAAUGGUCAAACAUAUGAGAAAAAGUCAACUGCAUCAUCUAUU